CACCAAUCAAGCCUGGCUUGGUGUUGGGCCCCGGGGGUGACCCGGACCCCAAUGUCCGCCGGCCGGACGACCCGGACCUCAGCGUUAUGGCACUGUAAAGUUCCGCUGAGAGGGAAGGGUUGACCGCGCCGUCAACAACUACCUCUAAAA
rnacentral:misc_RNA from 1 species